GGUGGAUAAGUAUUGCAAGAAUCGGCAGAGUCAGAGGAAACUCUGAUGGAAGUCCGUAUCCACGGUUCGGACGUGCAAAACGAUCAAUAGCCUGAGGUAUAGGGACGAAAGACUAAUCGAACCAUCUAGUAG
rnacentral:ncRNA from 1 species